AUCGACGGGGAGGUUUGGCACCUCGAUGUCGGCUCAUCGCAUCCUGGGGCUGUAGUCGGUCCCAAGGGUUGGGCUGUUCGCCCAUUAAAGCGGUACGCGAGCUGGGUUCAGAACGUCGUGAGACAGUUCGGUCCCUAUCCGUCGUGGGCGUAGGAAAUUUGAGAGGAGCUGUCCUUAGUACGAGAGGACCGGGAUGGACAUACCUCUGGUGUACCAGUUGUCGUGCCAACGGCAUAGCUGGGUAGCUAUGUGUGGACGGGAUAAGUGCUGAAAGCAUCUAAGCAUGAAGCCCCCCUCAAGAUGAGAUUUCCCAACUUCGGUUAUAAGAUCCCUCAAAGAUGAUGAGGUUAAUAGGUUCGAGGUGGAAGCAUGGUGACAUGUGGAGCUGACGAAUACUAA
rnacentral:rRNA from 1 species